rnacentral:rRNA from 1 species
GCACGGGUGAGUAACACGUAUCCAACCUGCCGAUAACUCCGGAAUAGCCUUUCGAAAGAAAGAUUAAUACCGGAUAGCAUACGAAUAUCGCAUGAUAUUUUUAUUAAAGAAUUUCGGUUAUCGAUGGGGAUGCGUUCCAUUAGUUUGUUGGCGGGGUAACGGCCCACCAAGACUACGAUGGAUAGGGGUUCUGAGAGGAAGGUCCCCCACAUUGGUACUGAGACACGGUCCAAACUCCUACGGGAGACAGCAGUGAGGAAUAUUGGUCAAUGGGCGAGAGCCUGAACCAGCCAAGUAGCGUGAAGGAUGAAGGCUCUAUGGGUCGUAAACUUCUUUUAUAUGGGAAUAAAGUUUUCCACGUGUGGAAUUUUGUAUGUACCAUAUGAAUAAGGAUCGGCUAACUCCGUGCCAGCAGCCGCGGUAAUACGGAGGAUCCGAGCGUUAUCCGGAUUUAUUGGGUUUAAAGGGAGCGUAGGUGGAUUGUUAAGUCAGUUGUGAAAGUUUGCGGCUCAACCGUAAAAUUGCAGUUGAAACUGGCAGUCUUGAGUACAGUAGAGGUGGGCGGAAUUCGUGGUGUAGCGGUGAAAUGCUUAGAUAUCACGAAGAACUCCGAUUGCGAAGGCAGCUCACUAGACUGUCACUGACACUGAUGCUCGA